rfam:TPA: Bos taurus chromosome 13, whole genome shotgun sequence.
UCCCUGGUGGCUCAGAUGGCAAAAGCCUCUGCCUACAAUGCAGGAGAUCUGGGUUCGAUUCCUGGGUUGGGAA